UUCGGCUACGGCAGAACAUAUACUAAAAUUGGAACGAUACAGAGAAGAUUAGCAUGGCCCCUGCGCCAAAACGCUAUUAUUAUUGGGUAAAUUGCCACAUUCGU